rnacentral:rRNA from 1 species
GACGAACGCUGGCGGCGUGCUUAACACAUGCCAGUCGAACGGGUCUGCCCUGUUUUUUGCGGGGUGGGUCAGUGGCGAACGGGUGAGUAACACGUGAGUAACCUGCCCCUCACUUCUGGAUAACCGCUUGAAAGGGUGGCUAAUACGGGGUGUUCUGGCUGUGCCGCAUGGUGUGGCUGGGAAAGAUUCACUUUUGUGUGGUGUUGGUGGGGGAUGGGCUCGCGGCCUAUCAGCUUGUUGGUGGGGUGAUGGCCUGCCAAGGCUUUGAGGGGUAGCCGGCCUGAGAGGGUGGGCGGUCACACUGGGACUGAGAUACGGCCCAGACUGCUGCGGGAGGCAGCAGUGGGGGGUAUUGCACAAUGGGCGGAAGCCUGAUGCAGCGACGUCGCGUGAGGGAUGGAGGCCUUCGGGUUGUGAACCUCUUUCGCCGGUGAAGAAGGUCCUGCUCUUUGUGGUGGGGUUGACGGUAGCCGGGUUAUGAAGCGCCGGCUAACUACGUG